rnacentral:tRNA from 1 species
GGGUCGGUGCCCGAGUGGUUAAAGGGAGUGGAUUGUAAAUCCAUUGGCUAUGCCUACGUUGGUUCGAAUCCGACUCGGCCCA